CAGUCGCCGCGGUAAUUCGAAGGGUGCAAGCGUUAAUCGGAAUUACUGGGCGUAAAGCGUGCGUAGGCGGUUUGUUAAGUCUGCUGUGAAAUCCCCGGGCUCAACCUGGGAAUGGCAGUGGAUACUGGCAAGCUAGAGUGUGUCAGAGGAUGGUGGAAUUCCCGGUGUAGCGGUGAAAUGCGUAGAGAUCGGGAGGAACAUCAGUGGCGAAGGCGGCCAUCUGGGACAACACUGACGCUGAGGCACGAAAGCGUGGGGAGCAAACAGGAUUAGAUACCCCGGUAGUCCCUGUCUCUUAUAC
rnacentral:rRNA from 1 species